rnacentral:rRNA from 1 species
UACGUAGGGUGCGAGCGUUGUCCGGAAUUAUUGGGCGUAAAGAGCUUGUAGGCGGUUUGUCGCGUCUGCUGUGAAAAUCCGGGGCUCAACCCCGAGCCUGCAGUCGAUACGGGCAGACUAGAGUCCGGCAGGGGAGACUGGAAUUCCUGGUGUAGCGGUGAAAUGCGCAGAUAUCAGGAGGAACACCGGUGGCGAAGGCGGGUCUCUGGGCCGGAACUGACGCUGAGGAGCGAAAGCGUGGGGAGCGAACAGG